AGCGAACGCUGGCGGCAGGCUUAACACAUGCAAGUCGAGCGGGCAUCCUUGUGGUGUCAGCGGCAGACGGGUGAGUAACGCGUGGGAACGUGCCCUUCGGUUCGGAAUAACUCAGGGAAACUUGAGCUAAUACCGGAUACGCCCUUUUGGGGAAAGGUUUACUGCCGAAGGAUCGGCCCGCGUCUGAUUAGCUAGUUGGUGAGGUUAUGGCUCACCAAGGCGACGAUCAGUAGCUGGUCUGAGAGGAUGAUCAGCCACACUGGGACUGAGACACGGCCCAGACUCCUACGGGAGGCAGCAGUGGGGAAUAUUGGACAAUGGGGGCAACCCUGAUCCAGCCAUGCCGCGUGAGUGAUGACGGCCUUAGGGUUAAAGCUCUUUUCUCCGGGACGAUAAUGACGGUACCGGAGGAAUAAGCCCCGGCUAACUUCGUG
rnacentral:rRNA from 1 species